rnacentral:rRNA from 1 species
CUGCCAGUGGUCGUAUGCUUCGUUCAAGGGCUAAGCCAUGCACGUCUCAGCGUACACGGUCUCAACAGUGGAUCUGUGAAUGGCUCCUUACAUCAGCAGUCGUCUCUGUGAUAGAGUGUGGAUGGCAUCGAUCAGCCCACAAGAUGCUCCGCGGGACAUCCUCCAAAACCUAGUGGCUAAUACACGGUCGCUCCAGUCUGCCGCAUCCAAGGAUCAAUCAUGGCUCUUGUCAGCGCAGCGCCGGACCGCUCCCGCUCUGGGAGAAUGGCCGGUUCUGUGGCAACGAGUGGCAGGGCCAGUGGUGGAUUGCACCCAGCCGCUGGCAAGACCAGCACCUGUGAACCUACAGGUAGUGCGUGAAGGAAUGGCUGAAUCAGGCUGGUCUUCAAGCGGGCCGUCUCCAUCAAUCCAUGGGGCCAAUGGUUACUGUGUCUGGACGGUUGCACUGGCAGAGUGGCGUCCCCACGCGGGACAAGCUGAUACCUUGCUUGAUCGCGCGAGCUUCUGACCUAUCAGCCUUUGACUGUGGCGUAUUGGACCCCAGUGGCGGUGACGGGUGACAGAGAAUCAGGGUUCGAUUCUGGAGAGGCAGCCUGAGAGAUGGCUACCAAUACCAAGGUGUGCAGCAGGCGCGUAAAUUGCCCAAUGCCAACGCAGCUCAGGUGAGGCAGCAACGAACCGCAGCAAUCCCGCUGGUCCCUAGUGGCCUGUGGGACUUGGAAUGGAUGCAAUGCAAACACAGUGAUGAGUAUCAACUGGAGGGCAAGUCUGGUGAAUUCCAGCUCCAUGGGUGUACACUGACACUGCUGCUGUUAAAACGCUUGUAGUCUGCCGCUGGGCGCGGGGCUGGCCGCCCCGCGGUCGCGCUCCUCGCGCGGUCGCGGCCGGUCAGUACGCCCGCGCCCGUCUUGCGCCCAGUCGCAAUGAUGGUUUGAGUCAAUGCUCCUGCCUCCAAGUCUCCUUCGGUGGGGAUCGAUGCUGCUGUGUACGCCCAACACACGUAAAGCCUCUCUGCUCACGGCCAGUCCAGCCAUCCUCUCUCUGCAGGUUCCAAUGGCGUGUCAAUGCCAGUCUGGCCCAGCAACCGGAGUCAACCAUCGCAGUCACCGUGGAGAACUCAGCGUGCCUCAAGCAGCCAACCAAUCGUCCAGCCUCCAGCGGAAGCCCAAUCGACCUCAGCAGGGAAGCUGUAAAUUUACCUCCUGGCAGGAUGUCCGUCCAUGGAAUGACCAAGCAUUGACCCGAUGUUGGCUGUGGAGUUGUGCUAUCAGGCCUUGGUGCUCAUACGGGAGAGGGUGGUGUCAGCCACCUGUGUAGCGCGCCUGCGGCUGGGUCAAGCCAAGGGGGCAGUGUACAGGUCCCACCAGCGGACCCAAAGCACUGUCCACGCGGUCCACCCUGGCUCAGCGGGACCCGUGCGAAGCAGGUACAGGCCGUCACUGUUCAGCCACGAUGGGACUGUUCGGAGUUCAGGAUACUGCAGCGCCAGCGGUGAAAUGCUUAGACCGUUGCAAGAUCAACGGCAGCGAAGGCGCUCGGCAAGGGCCCGUCCGUCGAUCAAGAAUGAGAGUGUGGGGAGCGAAGAUGAUCAGACACCGUCGUAGUCCACCACUGUAAACGAUGCCGGCUCAGUGAUGAAGCUGUGAUUGCCUUUGCCCAGCCAAAUGACCGAACGGCCAGCUCCAGCGCUCUGUCCCCAGCAACGAGAAAUCCAAGCCUACGGGUUCAUGGGGAAGUACUGUCGCAAGGCUGAAACUUAAAGGAAUUGACGGAAUGGCACCACCAGGCGUGGAGUGUGCGGCUUAAUUUGACUCAACGCGGGGAAGCUUACCAGGCCAGGACGUGGCGCGGAUGGACAGACUGACAGCUCUUUCCUGAUGCCUCGGCUGGUGGUGCAUGGCCGCUCCUGAUCGGUGGAGUGAUUUGUCUGGUUGAUUCCGAUAACGGGUGAGAUCUCUGCCUUCCAGUAAGCCUCAGCCAUGCAUUCAGUAGAGUACUGGCUUGCAGUGUGUGACUUGUGGCGUCCCGUGGCUUCCUUGACCRKUGUGAUGUGRCCCGCAAUGACCCUGUGUCAGCGCUCGAAUGGACUGUGUAACGACCCGCGAUAUCCUCGCGGAUGCUUCUCUGAGGUGCUGUGYGUGUCCACCAAACGCACGCAUGCUAGAGCCAACAGCAGGUCUGUGAUGCUCCAAGAUGCCCUGGGCCGCACGCGCACUACAUUGGCUUGGUGAAUGAGUCUCAUACGGAACUGUGCAAUUGGCAUUGCCCAGCUGGAAGUGGUUGGGGAACCAUGCGAACCCACUGUGGCCGUCCUGGGGAUAGAUGCUUGCAACUGUCUGCCUUCAACGAGGAAUGCCUAGUAAGCUCCAGUCAUCAGCUGGAACUGAUUGAGUCCCUGCCAUUUGUACACACCGCCCGUCGUUGCUACCGAUGGUGGACCGACAGAGUCAUCAGGAGGCCCCUGCGCGACUGAUCGCGCCUGUGUGUGAUCGCUGCUCCGCUGUGUCAUCAAAAGCACCCCCGCGGGCUGGCGCGGGGGCCGAACUCUGACGAUGUCUGGCUGCUAGAGGAAGCAAAAGUCGUAACAAGGUUGCUGUAGGUGAACCUGCAGAAGGAUCAA